GAUGAACGCUGGCGGCGUGCUUAACACAUGCAAGUCGAGCGAGUGAGUUCUUCGGAGCGAUCUAGCGGCGGACGGGUGAGUAACACGUGGGCAACCUGCCUCACAGAGGGGAAUAGCCUCCCGAAAGGGAGAUUAAUACCGCAUAAAAUUAUCGAGUGGCAUCACAUGAUAAUCAAAGGAGUAAUCCGCUAUGAGAUGGGCCCGCGGCGCAUUAGCUAGUUGGUGAGGUAACGGCUCACCAAGGCGACGAUGCGUAGCCGACCUGAGAGGGUGAUCGGCCACAUUGGGACUGAGACACGGCCCAGACUCCUACGGGAGGCAGCAGUGGGGAAUAUUGCACAAUGGGGGAAGCCCUGAUGCAGCAACGCCGCGUGAGUGAUGAAGGUCUUCGGAUUGUAAAGCUCUGUCUUUGGGGACGAUAAUGACGGUACCCAAGGAGGAAGCCACGGCUAACUACGUGCCAGCAGCCGCAGUAA
rnacentral:rRNA from 1 species